GAUGAACGCUGGCGGCGUGCCUAAUACAUGCAAGUCGAGCGAACAGAUGAGGAGCUUGCUCCUCUGACGUUAGCGGCGGACGGGUGAGUAACACGUGGAUAACCUACCUAUAAGACUGGGAUAACUUCGGGAAAACGGAGCUAAUACCGGAUAAUAUAUUGAACCGCAUGGUUCAAUAGUGAAAGACGGUUUUGCUGUCACUUAUAGAUGGAUCCGCGCCGCAUUAGCUAGUUGGUAAGGUAACGGCUUACCAAGGCAACGAUGCGUAGCCGACCUGAGAGGGUGAUCGGCCACACUGGAACGGAGACACGGUCCAGACUCCUACGGGAGGCAGCAGUAGGGAAUCUUCCGCAGUGGGCGAAAGCCUGACGGAGCAACGCCGCGUGAGUGAUGAAGGUCUUCGGAUCGUAAAACUCUGUUAUUAGGGAAGAACAAAUGUGUAAGUAACUAUGCACGUCUUGACGGUACCUAAUCAGAAAGCCACGGCUAACUACGUG
rnacentral:rRNA from 1 species